GUGGCGUAGUCGGUGGCGUCGAUCUUGCCGCCGUUGCUGCCGUCGGCGGUGAUGGCUGCCGUGAUCAGAGCGUUCGAGCCGAACUUGCCACGC
rnacentral:tRNA from 1 species